rnacentral:rRNA from 1 species
ACGGGCCGCACAAGCGGUGGAGUAUGUGGUUUAAUUCGACGCAACGCGCAGAACCUUACCUAGACUUGACAUCCCGGGGAUUUUCUGGAAACAGAGAAGUGCUUUAGCAAUAAAGAACCCGGUGACAGGUGCUGCAUGGCUGUCGUCAGCUCGUGUCGUGAGAUGUUGGGUUAAGUCCCGCAACGAGCGCAACCCUCGCCUUUAGUUGCCAGCAUUCAGUUGGGCACUCUAGAGGGACUGCCGGUGUCAAACCGGAGGAAGGUGGGAUGACGUCAAGUCCUCAUGGCCUUUAUGUCUAGGGCUACACACGUACUACAAUGGCCGGUACAAAGGGCAGCCACUCAGCGAUGAGGCGCUAAUCCCAUAAAGCCGGUCUCAGUCCGGAUCGCAGUCUGCAACUCGACUGCGUGAAGUUGGAAUCGCUAGUAAUCGUAGAUCAGCAUGCUACGGUGAAUACGUUCCCGGGCCUU